UCAGGAUUACUUAUAAUAGCAAAACAAUCAGGUACAAAGUAACUGCUAAAAUUUUGGAAAUGACUUUAAAAAGUGACAUAUUCAUAUGACGGAAUAUCACAGUUUUUUAAAAGGAUGUUUAUGAAAAGUCUUCAGUGACAUAAAACAUAUUGAAAAUCAAAAACAAGCAGGAUACAAAUCUGUACAUAUAAUAUGGUCUCAACAUCUUAAACAAGCAUAGUAAAAAGGCCAGAAAGGUGCUAAAAUGUUAGAAACAGCAAUAGCUAGAGGUGAUAAUUAUAUUUUCCUGCUUAAUAAAAGUAGAUAUUACUUUGUAGUGAGAAAAAAAGGGGAAAAAUGUCAAACACAAUCUAUUAAUUUAUAUCAGUAAAUGUGUGCCUUUUCAGUGCCAUCACUCUGGUAGGCACCCAAGAGGCAGUAGAGGACACAGCAGAUAGAGUCUUUACCCUUAAUUAGGUUACAGCCCAGCAAGAGAGACACAUUUAACAAGUGACUUCUCAAAUAAUUAAUUAUGUAAGAGCAAACCAUAAACAGAGUUUUUAUAGGAGUUUCACCUGAGUUUUCAUCAUAUAUGCAUGCAUGAAUGUAGGUAUGUCUUUGUUGGUUUGACAGAGUCUCAAUCUAUCACCCAGGCUGAAGUGCAGUGGUGGCAUGCGCCUGUAGUCCCAGCUACUUACUUGGGAGGCUGAAGUGGGAGGAUCACUUGAG
rnacentral:lncRNA from 1 species